rnacentral:rRNA from 1 species
UACGUAGGUGGCGAGCGUUGUCCGGAAUUACUGGGUGUAAAGGGCGUGUAGGCGGGGUUGUAAGUCAGAUGUGAAAUUCCCAGGCUCAACUUGGGCGCUGCAUCUGAAACUAUAUCUCUUGAGUGCUGGAGAGGAAAGCGGAAUUCCUAGUGUAGCGGUGAAAUGCGUAGAUAUUAGGAGGAACACCAGUGGCGAAGGCGGCUUUCUGGACAGUAACUGACGCUGAGGCGCGAAAGCGUGGGGAGCAAACAGG